rnacentral:rRNA from 1 species
UACGAAGGGGGCUAGCGUUGUUCGGAAUCACUGGGCGUAAAGCGCACGCAGGCGGAUCGUUAAGUCAGGGGUGAAAUCCCGAGGCUCAACCUCGGAACUGCCUUUGAUACUGGCGAUCUUUGAGUCCGGGAGAGGUGAGUGGAACUCCGAGUGCAGAGGUGAAAUUCGUAGAUAUUCGGAAGAACACCAGUGGCGAAGGCGGCUCACUGGCCCGGUACUGACGCUCAGGUGCGAAAGCGUGGGGAGCAAACAGG